rnacentral:rRNA from 1 species
UAUUGCUCAAUGGGCGAAAGCCUGAAGCAGCAACGCCGCGUGUGCGAUGAAGGCCUUCGGGUCGUAAAGCACUUUUCUGAGAGAUGAGAAAGGACAGUAUCUCAGGAAUAAGUCUCGGCUAACUACGUGCCAGCAGCCGCGGUAAAACGUAGGAGGCGAGCGUUAUCCGGAUUCACUGGGCGUAAAGCGCGUGCAGGCGGUUCGGUAAGUUGGGCGUGAAAUCUCCUGGCUUAACUAGGAGAGGUCGUUCAAUACUACCGGGCUUGAGAGUGGUAGAGGAAGAUGGAAUUCCAGGUGUAGUGGUGAAAAUGCGUAGAUAUCUGGAGGAACACCAGUGGCGAAAGCGAUCUUCUGGACCAUUUCUGACGCUCAGACGCGAAAGCUAGGGUAGUAAACGGGAUUAGAGACCCCGGUAAUCCUAGCCGUAAACGAUGUAAACUUGGCGUCGGUGGCUUAAACUCCAUCGGUGCCGUAGCUAACGCGAUAAGUUUACCGCCUGGGGACUACGAUCGC